rnacentral:rRNA from 1 species
GAGGAAUAUUGGACAAUGGGCGGGAGCCUGAUCCAGCCAUGCCGCGUGCAGGAAGACUGCCCUAUGGGUUGUAAACUGCUUUUAUACGGGAAGAAUAAGUGUUACGUGUAGCACGAUGACGGUACCGUAAGAAUAAGCACCGGCUAACUCCGUGCCAGCAGCCGCGGUAAUACGGAGGGUGCAAGCGUUAUCCGGAAUCAUUGGGUUUAAAGGGUCCGUAGGUGGACUAAUAAGUCAGUGGUGAAAGUCUGCAGCUUAACUGUAGAAUUGCCAUUGAUACUGUUAGUCUUGAAUUGUUGUGAAGUAACUAGAAUAUGUAGUGUAGCGGUGAAAUGCAUAGAUAUUACAUAGAAUACCGAUUGCGAAGGCAGGUUACUAACAAUAUAUUGACACUGAUGGACGAAAGCGUGGGGAGCGAACAGG